GGGGGACAACGUUUCGAAAGGAACGCUAAUACCGCAUACGUCCUACGGGAGAAAGCAGGGGACCUUCGGGCCUUGCGCUAUCAGAUGAGCCUAGGUCGGAUUAGCUAGUUGGUGAGGUAAUGGCUCACCAAGGCGACGAUCCGUAACUGGUCUGAGAGGAUGAUCAGUCACACUGGAACUGAGACACGGUCCAGACUCCUACGGGAGGCAGCAGUGGGGAAUAUUGGACAAUGGGCGAAAGCCUGAUCCAGCCAUGCCGCGUGUGUGAAGAAGGUCUUCGGAUUGUAAAGCACUUUAAGUUGGGAGGAAGGGUUGUAGAUUAAUACUCUGCAAUUUUGACGUUACCGACAGAAUAAGCACCGGCUAACUCUGUGCCAGCAGCCGCGGUAAUACAGAGGGUGCAAGCGUUAAUCGGAAUUACUGGGCGUAAAGCGCGCGUAGGUGGUUCGUUAAGUUGGAUGUGAAAUCCCCGGGCUCAACCUGGGAACUGCAUCCAAAACUGGCGAGCUAGAGUAUGGUAGAGGGUGGUGGAAUUUCCUGUGUAGCGGUGAAAUGCGUAGAUAUAGGAAGGAACACCAGUGGCGAAGGCGACCACCUGGA
rnacentral:rRNA from 1 species